ensembl:lncRNA
CCUGGAGCCCUACGAGCUGCGCCCAGCCGGGAGGGCAGGACGCCGGGGCCGGCGGGCGGCGCGGGUAACGUUCGCUGCCCCGGGGCUCGGCAGGCGGUGUCCGUGUGGAGUCCCGCCGAGCACGCCCGGCGGCCGAGGGAUAUCCAGAGGCGCCAAGGCGCGGGGCGGAGAGUAGGCGCCGAAACAUCUCGGAUCAGCUGGAGGCCGGCGGGAGGGCCGGGGCGGCUGGCUAGGCAGCAAGGCCCCUCGGUGGAGGCCCUGCACCCGGCAGCCCGCCCCUCCGGACCUGCAGGUUUCCGAGGGGAGCCGCAGCCUCAGCGGCGGGGCGCGGGGGCUGUCGCGCUUAGGGCUGGGAGAGACGGGAAGGCACGGGUCUAGGUGACUUUGGGGCGGGGGUUGGUGGGGGCCUGGCCUGGGCGCCUCGUCGGGUGGCGGAGGUGGGCUGCCACCAAAUGGUCUGCAGCCCCGACCCUGCCACCUCCUCGGCCACGGGACUAAACCCACGGAGACUGGCAGGGAAAGGCGAACGGAGAUUUGUUCGGAGCCGCAGGGCUUGGAUCGGAGAGCAAGACCCCAGGGCGAGGAUGGCCGCGCGGGCUGGAAGCCCUGAGACCGGACGGCUUUAGUGGAGCCACCCAGACAGUGGGGGCAUGGUUGUGAAUAAAUACGAAAUCGGGCUCAGGGGGGACGAAACACCAAAGAAGGCGCAACGUUCCGGGUUCCCCCCCGCCUCCUUCUCCUCACUCCGUUUCCCCCGAAACCCUUUAGACCCGAGAGGUUUGCGGAAACUCGGCUGCCCGGCGCCUCCGGUUUGCACGCACUCCGAGCUCCCACGCAGCAUCCCGUCCUAGGGAAGCGCCGCUCAAUCCUGACCCCAGCUUGGGAACCGAUCUGAGCUUGACUUCUGCCUCUGCUCCGCCCGCAGUCUCGGGACCGCACACCUCGGCCCGCAGGCUAGGACGUCUCCUGCAUCGCGCUGGGAUGUUCAAGGUGGCUCCAGUGGAUACAAUCUGAUUUUUCAUUUUGAAUCAUGAAAAGCAUUUCUCAAAAAAGCAUCUUUAAAUGAUUCAAGUUUCCUUGCAAAUCCUGUUGGAACCUUGGAAAAGGCAGGAACCUAUCGGUCCUACUUUCACCUUUGAGUGCAAGGAAUAAAUGUUUUCACAGAGAGUUGCUCGGAAGGAAACUCACUUCUUAAGCUGCUAAGCAACUAGUUUGGAGAAUGAUUUCUUAUCUUUUAACUGCAGAAGUCUUAUCCAAAUUUGCAAAACCGGAGCAUUUCAACUUUGGAACAACAUUGCAGAUCAUUGUAUUUUUAGUGACAGUAUUUCUGGGAAUAUUUCUUCAUAAGUCUUUUAAUCGUAUAGUUGCAAAAUAUGUGGCUUUUUUCUUAAACUAGCAUAUUGCAUAAAACAGCCAAAAGUUGGCUUUUUUCAUUCAUCUUUUCUAUCUCAAAACCUAAAUGAAAUUAGUACAACUUUUAUGCUUGUACUAUUUAAAAUCUUAAAGACAUAGCUGAGUUUUUAAGGUUGUUUUGGCAUAAUGCAAAAACAUCUGGAUGUGAAAUGAAAAAUUUAGUCUGUCACCCAGGUUCCAGAUGUUUGGUACUAUGUAGACAAAACAUCAGGAUGAGUGACUGAAAUUUUUCUCUCCAAGCCAGAUGGUUUAGUGCCUGGUGCUUCUAUAAGGAAGCAUAUUUUCCUUUCUCUAAACAUCACAUCCUACUGUAUCUCACGUUAAGGCAUGAUUUACGCUCUUUCAUCGACAAAAUGCUGGGCCGUUUGGAGUGCAGCAAAGCGAUCUGUAAAUGAAACUCUAAAAUGGCAACCCACUCCAGUACUCUUGCCUAGAAAAUUCCAUGGAUGGAGAAGCCUGGUGGGCUACAGUCCCUGGGGUCACAAAGAGUCAGACACGACUGAGCGACUUCGCUACAGGAGUCCAAGUACAAGUGUUCCUGUGUACUUAGAAGGGAGUGGUGGUGGAGAAGCCAGAAACAGGGAGGUAGGAAAGAGAGAGCCUUGUUCAAUAGGGAAUGACUUGACUAAAAGGACAUAGCCUUCUGAGACUCCAUUUGUGGCAUUCUAUCAUCUUACUGGGGCUAAAGGUAGCAUUUAGCACUAGCCUAGACAGGCCUGCCUUUUGCCUGAGGUGCACUUGAAGUGUGAAAUACCCUUGUGCCCUCUGAAGCCCUCUUUCCCCUUUAUUCAUUCUUGAAACAUUAUAAAACAAGUAAAUGUAACAUAACCUUAAAACAUGGUUACUUGUGAGCAUUACACAGGUAGGCAAAUUCUGUGUUUGAAAAGUAAGAAAGCAAUAUGGUGAAUAUUUUAAUUGGUCAAAAAAUAUAUUGCCAAUGAAUAGAUUUCUCUUCAUGUGAAGUGUCUUCACGUAUCUACUUGGAGAUGAAGAGAAAGUAACAUUUCUUCCUUCCUGAAAGUUACAGAGAUUUAAAGUCAUGAGCAGAGUCUGAGCUUUUCCAAGUGUCUUUGGCUUAGCCAUGUUGAGAAAGAAGGACAGAUAUGAGAGGCCUUCCACUAGAAUCAGGAGAUGAAAUCAACCCAGAAUGAAUUCCAUUCUACUUAUUAACCUCACACGCUUACUGGGUUAUAGAAGAGUUUAGACAAUGAAUGGCACUGAAUGUUAAAACAUCAUAAAAUUUGACCACAUAACAAUUGCUGCAAGAAAAACAUACCAUUUUGAAUAGACCUUAUAACUCAGAAUCUGACACUCAGAUAAUAAGACCCACAAUUUCAAUACUGGCCCCAAAUCAAUCUUUAAAAAUAGUUUACAGGGAUCUAGUAGAGUUUCAGGGGUACAAAUAUUGAGUCAUCAAGAGCCUCAAAAGUCAAAAAGGAAUCUUUAACACUAUAUAAAACAGAAUCACAGUUAUUUUUCUUGAUCGCUAUAAUUGGGAUAUUUUCGUGACCUUUUUUGUGAUGCAUUUAUUAGAAUAAUAAAAUGAAAGAGCUGGAAGGAACUUAGAGCUCAUCCAGGCCUCUUUUCUCCUUUUACGGAUGAGUAAAUUGGGGAGCAAAAACAUUAAAGGACCUACCCAAGGUCACACAUUGAUUAGUGGUAAAGUCAGAACUGGAAUUGCUGAGUUCCUGUGGUGACUCACAGAGUCCGAAGCUCAUUCCACAGCAGCUUGCCUUCAGAACCCACCACUCAGAGUCACGGAUUUCUGAGUAGUGUUCAAGAAACCGACACCCAUCACUACAAGCUGGAGACAGCUCAAAACCAUUCAGUCAUGUUACACAUCUAAGAACUAUAAAAACAAAGCCAGCAUGAAGGCAGAGUUCCCCAUUUGUCUCCAUGGUAAGAGGGCUAUUGCAAAACAGAGCUAAUAAAACUUGGGCACGUCAACAAUUUGGCUAGUGGGCCUGAUAACAACAAAUGACAGCUAAGCUUUUUAUAGAGAACUUGAAGCACCUUGGAAGAAUGCCAUGCACACAAACUGCUACAGUCUCUUGUAUUUUGAAAAUAACAUAUUCAAACAUUUAAAAUAAGUGACUUUGAUGGGGAGGAGGAGGUGACUGUAGCCAUGUCAACCCCAUUCUUUACAAAAGAAGACAAAGUGUCCCACAAAGUGUCCAGUGGCUUGUAUGAUGAAAUGGAAGAUUAGGAUGCAUUGGGUAGGUGGAAGGGAAGGACAGGGGUGGGAGAAUCAAAGAGAAAUAGGCUAACAUGAUGUAUACGUCCCCAGUCUUGAAGACCUAGGACCUCUCUAGCUCUUCAUGGAUGGCAUGAGCCAAGGAAUUGGUCUCAUACCUGAUAUUAUCAGGACUCAUACCUGAUGUUAUCUUCUGUUUUAUGUUUUAUUCAACAUCAAAAUGAGAACUCAGAAGCAUUACUUCUAAUGAAAGCCAGACAACUCUUCAUCAUGAGCAUUUUGGUCCAAGAAAUGCAAGUAAGGACAGAGAUUAGGAGAAAUAGAAAUGGGUGAAGUGAGUGAAAUCAAGAUUCAGUAUUUGGAGCUGUGAGAGAAGAGUUAUGUCUUCAUUGGCCUGGAGAGAAAGGAGAUCCUGUUAAGGUCUUCUCUUCAAGCUAAUUCAAGGUCAGUGCCUUCUGAGAUGCAGGAUCUGGCCAGAAUUUGAACUAGGGGAUGAGGGAGGUAGUGAUGCUGGGAAAUGAGGUCUGACAACCUAUAUUCUUUCUUUGAAAUGCUUAGGGGAGCAACUAUACCAGCCAAAGUUAAAUCAAAUAAAACGAGCAUGCCCGCUUACCUCUUUAAUUUACUCUCCCAAACAGAUCAUCAUUUGGGCUAUUCCCCUGAAGUCAAGCAUGAAAUCUAUUUAGCUGGAGAGCUACCCAUUUCCUCUGACCUGCAGAAGAGAUGCCCUGUUCUUUCAGAAUCGCUGGAAUGCCAGAAUCUGAAGAAAACUGGAGCCACAUGCCUGGGCCCCUUGAGAUCCUCCCAUCCCUACUCCAUGCCAAAGGAACAUGCUGACAGAAAUGCAGCGGACUUGCAGUGCUUGACCCAGAAGCACAGCUGCCGAUUCAUCGGCAGAGGUCAUUGUGUGACUUUAAGUUGCUAUGGAUUUAAGAGCGUCUCUUAUCAACUGGGGUAUUUAAAUCUCUUUUGUCCCUGGGACCUUUUGGGCAGUUUUGUAAAAACCUAUAGGCUCCUCAGAAAAGAUGUUCUUAAAUGCCCAAAUGAUAUUGAAAUCAAGUUAUCAGAAUAUUUUAAAGAAACAAAUUUAUGAAGUAGUUAUUAUAUUUUGCUUUCUUAUUUAACCCAAUAAAUGAAAAAUCUCAUGAUGGGUCUAAUAAAUUAUAUAAUAUUGAAAUAGGGAAUAAGUGUGAAUAAUAGUUCAAACUUAUCAACAAUUAUAAUGUGAUAUGAAGG